GCAGCCGCCACGGGAAUACAGAGGGUGCAAGCGUUAAUCGGAAUUACUGGGCGUAAAGCGCGCGUAGGUGGUUUGUUAAGUUGGAUGUGAAAGCCCCGGGCUCAACCUGGGAACUGCAUCCAAAACUGGCAAGCUAGAGUACGGUAGAGGGUGGUGGAAUUUCCUGUGUAGCGGUGAAAUGCGUAGAUAUAGGAAGGAACACCAGUGGCGAAGGCGACCACCUGGACUGAUACUGACACUGAGGUGCGAAAGCGUGGGGAGCAAACAGGAUUAGAUACCCGUGUAGUCCCUGUCUCUUAUAC
rnacentral:rRNA from 1 species